rnacentral:tRNA from 1 species
GGAGAGGUGGCUGAGUGGUCGAAAGCGAACGACUCGAAAUCGUUUGAAGGGCAACCUUCCGUGGGUUCGAAUCCCACCCUCUCCGC